rnacentral:lncRNA from 1 species
GCUUUGUCUCUCUUUCUUUCUUUCUUUCUUUCUUUCUUUCUUUCUUUCUUUCUUUCUUUCUUUCUUUCUUUCUUUCUUUUUUUCUUUCUUCCUUCCUUCCUUCUCUCUCUCUCUCUCUCUCUCUCUCUCUCUCUCUCUCUCUCUCUUCUUUCUUUCUUUCUUUUAUUUUUUUGUGAAUGAAUGAACUUGUCCUCAUUCCCAUGUCAAUUUGUUGGCAGUAUCUGAAUCAAUAUAUCCUAUUUUAAAACCCUUAAAGCACAAAAUUCUCAGUGGUAACUCAUACAAGAAUUAUUGAAUUGGGAGUUAGGGGAUCAAAAGAUGAGUCAGAAAUUACUUAUAGGGGAUGUGGCAUGAUGCUGCCCAGUGCCCAGUAUGUAUGAUUUUAUUUUAUCUUAUUUGCAUUCUCAUACGUGGCUCCCAAGACCCCAAUCUCCAAUGAUUUUUUUCCAUGAACAAAGCCCUGUGAGGUUCUUUUGUGGAAUAAUUCCAUAGGAAAUUGCUAUUUCAUGCAUGGCUUCCAAGACUCACAGCCCAAGGUAGGAGUGUAGAGAAGAGGAGGGUGUGAGGAUGAAGCUCAGCUGAAAGUCAGGCUGGAGCCUCUCACCUCCAGAGCUUUGCCAGGAAGUUCCCUCAGCAGACCCCGGGAACUCCGUGUGGUUAGUGAACCAGCUCUGAGUCAUCUCAGUCAAGGAGGCUCCGGAUGUCUCUGAAUAGUGUGUCUAGACUUACAGUCUGCUGGGGAGGGAGUAGGAGGAUCCUGAGAGAAGACUAGGAAAUGAUGGGUGGGUGUUUGUGCUGGUCUCAGAUUACUUCCUGUCCUUCAUAUCUUAAAUACCCAGAGAGUUAAUUUCAGGUCAUCUACUUUGAUGUUUAUCGGUUUCACAGAGCCUACAGGAUGCUAGACACAGAGCUUGGUUCUGGGAAUAGAAAGCUGACAAGGGCUCUUCUCUGAUGGACCUCUCUGAUGGGAGAGUUAUAUCUUGUCACAGAGUAAUCUGAUUAAAGUGGUGAGGGGUGUUACAAAGAUAUAUAAUCAGGUCCAUGUACAUAGAAUGGUACAUGUUCAAAACCAUAAGGCUUAGGAACUGAACUUCAUUAGAGAGAGCCAUUGAUGAUUUUUCUUAUUUUUGUUUCUUUAGUGCUGCUUUGACAGUUUGAUAUUUAUAUAUAAUGAAUUCCAACUGCUUUUAGCCCUGUACCCUCUUGUGCACCCCUCCACUUCCAAGAAGUCCUCUCUGACUUUCAUGGUCUUCCUUUCUUGUGAGGUUAUUUGGGCUUGCCUGCAUUAGAAUGGGUGAGGGUUCAUGUGCUGCAUCACAGGCAACUUAACAAUGACUACACCACUAAAGAAACUCAAAUACUCCACCAGCAAUGACUUACUGCCAAUGGUCAGUAUCUCAGGGAUGGGUAGAGCUCAUGUGUUGAUGGGUUCCUGCUGCUUCUAUCAUGUGUGGUAACCUCAUGCAGUGACCUUUUGAUUACAAUGCCAGGUCUUGCCCAGAAGGUGCCCUUCCAUGGUGUGCCUCUGUGUCUCCUAGCUCUGACACUUUUUUGCUACUUCUUCCAUGAUGUUUUCUGAGCUGAGGAGGAGGAGGAGGAGAUACAAAUAUCCUGUUUAGGAUCACAUAUUACUUUCUCCUGGCAGGAUGGACGAAUUGUAACAGUGGAGACCUGAUAAAGGACUAGCAGUAGACAGGUCAACAUCAUUUUCUUUAGACUGAGUUAAACUAGUCUGACUUUACAAAAACAAAAUACACCAAAGUGUUUCUUGGCUCAAGUUGUUUGUGUAUCAUCCUUUCUUCCACUUUGUUUUCUCUCUUCCUCCUUUCUUCCACUUUGUUCUCUCUCUCUCUCUCUCUCUCUCUCUCUCUCUCUCUCUCUCUCUCUCUCUCUCUCUCUCUCAUCUGAUUAGAGCCACUACUAUCUUUCAUGUGAUAAUAUUCAAGGCAUCAAUCCUACCAUCUUGGACAAGGAUAUAAGGGAGCUUGGGCGAGAUUAGGCUCCUGCUUUUAUCACAAGAUUCAUAUAGUAACUAACCAGGAUUCUACAAGGACUCUCCCAGUCUCUGCUGUAAGUAUGUGCUUCUACUUAGUCAAAGACAUCCCACAAUGCCUCAUUCCUGGAAAGUACAUAUUACUCAAUACUGCCAUUGGAAGACCAAGCCACCAACAUACCAAAACCUCGGUAAACUUCCACAAUGUUAAUUACAGCAGUGCUGGCCCAGUUUAGCUUCCCC